rnacentral:lncRNA from 1 species
UCCUCCGCAUAGUCUCCUCAAGUUCCCAAGUGGCUUUACGCACCGUGUGGUUGCUCCAUUGGACUUUUACAUAUGGAAUUGUGCGACUCCGCAACUUUCUUUCUCUCUAUCGAGGACGCACACCGGGUACUCCUCAUAUGACAUGUCUUCGCGUAGCUCCACGGGCUCAUACUCUAACAUAUGUGUCGAGUUGCGAAUAUACUUUCGGAGGUUCGACACGUGAAAUACGUCGUGAACUCCACAAGUCUCGGUGGCAAUGCAACCUUGUACGCCACCGCGCCAAUGCACUCUAAUACCUCGAACGGUCCAACAUAUCGGGGACUUAACUUCUCGCGGACCCCAAAACGCCUUACACCUCGCAUAGGCGAUACUUUCACAAAUACGCGGUCUCCAACCGCGAACUCUAGUUCUCUUCUGCGCUUGUCAGCAUAACUCUUUUGCCUUGUUGUGCCGUCGCAAGCCGUUGACGGGCAAGGCGAACCUUUUCCUCCGCCUCCCGCAAAA